GACGAACCGUGCGAACGUUAUUCGGAAUCACUGGGCUUAAAGCGCGUGUAGGCGGGCCAUCACGUCGGUCGUUGAAAGCCCCCGGCUCAACCGGGGAACCGGCGCCGAUACGAGUGGCCUGGAGGGGGGUAGGGGGACCUGGAACUUCCGGUGGAGCGGUGAAAUGCGUUGAGAUCGGAAGGAACGCCCGUGGCGAAAGCGAGGUCCUGGACCCCAUCUGACGCUGAGACGCGAAAGCCAGGGGAGCGAACGGGAUUAGAUACCCCGGUAGUCCUGGCCGUAAACCAUGGGCACUGGGUAGGGGGCUCGCCGAUGGGCUCCCUGCCGUAGCGAAAGCGUGAAGUGCCCCGCCUGGGGAGUAUGGUCGCAAGGCUGAA
rnacentral:rRNA from 1 species